CCUUCAGUUAUUGCUUCCAAUGCUCUGUCCUCCUCUGUCUGCCAUUCUCACACAUAAUUGAUAAUUUUGUGCCUUUUUUCCAGGUUGUGAAUGCACACAAUAAACUGAGCUGUGCCAAAAAACCUGAAAUGAUGAUGCAUCCUGCUUGCUCAUCCUGGAAGCGCUGGGCACAGCCAAUCUGACAGCCUUGAACAUUGCCCAAUGUGCUGUGACCGGCAUGAGCCACCGCUUCGCUGCUCAUCUUCAUCCCAGUCUUCAUGGCCACCUCAACGUGCACUGUCCUUGGGAACAACCUGACAGAAGGAAUAGGAGUCAAUGGCAAGCUGAAUUUUAGGGAUGGCAACACCACCCUACGGCCUAAUUCUCAGUGUACCAUACCAGCCUGGGUUCAUUUAUCCACCAGGCAGAUGGUUUUCUGUGGCCUCGAUCAACGGCACAGUAAUGGGUCACUCAAGUGACUACUGGAGCACAACAAGAUCAAUGUCAGGACAGCACUAUUCACUCCAAAUAUCGAUGACCUGGAAGGAGUCAUGUAAAAGGAUGGGACCUGCGUGGGAAGAGGCUCGCGAGAAGAAAAUAUACAUAAGAAUGAUACAACUCCAAACAACCUGAAUUGGCCAAGAAGUAGAGGUAUAUGGAGCAGUUUAAUGCAAAGAGAACUGAGAGUAUUCUUUGGGAAAAAAACAAAAUAAGUCACACUGUUGUGCUCUCUUUGUCCUACGUUACAGAGUAUGAAGGGAAGGCAGGCAAGCAGAGCAGAAAGUUGGUUAGAGAACCUGUAAAUGUGCACAUAAGUAAGGAAGACAAGAGGCAUUGGUGGGGCUUGGCAGAAUUAAAUCAACUGACAGCAUGAGGCAAAAAACUUUCUUUGUAUCUUUAAGUGUUUAUUCACUACACUUCUGCUAGUUCGGAGACCACCAGGUUCCACCUGAACUAAAUUAAUCAGCCUUAUAUAGCUGUACCUUAGUAUAUGACUUCAUGUUUAGCCAUCUCAAACCAGCCUUCCAGAUACAUCUAGGUUACCAGCUUUUUUGCUUCUCAAAGUUUUGAACCAACUUCUUGUCAGGCUUCUUUGACUAGAAAUUGAAAUUGCAGUGAGUGGCUCUGGCUAAAUCGGGAAGAAUUAGUAUUAAUGUAUUGAUCAGAUUAUCAGAGUUGAUCCAAGCUAUGCCCAAACUUUCCACUGAACGACCUAAAAAAAAAUACAUCAUAAGUCUUCACCAUGGCUUAUCUGUAUUUCAGGUUAUGUAGUCAUGUACUAUAAUGAAAAAAAUCUCUUUUUGAGUGUUAUUUUCAGCUUUGCGAAAUAAUCCAGAGCUGGCAGUUUUUACAGUUUCAGUCCAAGACCGAGCCUCAAUAAGCUCACACAGCUCUAAUGAUUGUUAGUGAAAAUGUAAUGGGCCAUUUGAAAUACAAAUGAACACUGGUAGGUAAAGGGAUUUUUUUUUUGGUGGAAUCAAUUUACACUAGCUAUUUAAAAAAUAUUAAAAUAAAUGUAAUGUCAUUAAAUGUAAGCUCAAAACCCAUUGAGAGCAUUAGUGGCCAAAUCUGCCAAAAAAGUAGUCAUGCCAAGAAUACAGGGCCAGAUUCUGCUCCCAAUUACAUUGGUGUUAAGCCAGGAUAACUCCCUUAAUUUCAACAAGCUUGUUCUGAAAUAAAGGCAGUGUUAAGUGGGAGCAGAAAGGAACUCGUUUCCCCUCCAGGCAUUUUUUGAAGGGCCUCAAUUUACCCUCAGUGACGUGUCUCGUUUCUCACCAGCUUCAGGUAUCCUCUACAUUUAUUCAGCAACCCCUUUCACCAAGACAAGGAGAUGGGACUGACCUCCAGAACAACAGCAAAGGUCCAGUGCAGCAUUUGAGGAGGAGUGAGAAAAAAAUUAAUAGACUAAAACAGUAAGAAGAGCUAAUAAGAGUCUGUCACUGCAGAAUAGUUGACAGCCAAGUAGAGUUCAAAGUUUUGAGGGCAGCUCUUUAAAAAUAGUGAUUAAUUUUAUAUUACUUACCAAGAAAAGGAA